AGAACGAACGCUGGCGGCAGGCUUAACACAUGCAAGUCGAGCGCUGUAGCAAUACAGAGCGGCAGACGGGUGAGUAACGCGUGGGAACAUACCCUCCGGUUCGGAAUAACUCAGGGAAACUUGAGCUAAUACCGAAUACGGUCGAGAGGCGAAAGAUUUAUCGCCGGAGGAUUGGCCCGCGUUCGAUUAGCUAGUUGGUGAGGUAACGGCUCACCAAGGCGACGAUCUAUAGCUGGUCUGAGAGGAUGAUCAGCCACACUGGGACUGAGACACGGCCCAGACUCCUACGGGAGGCAGCAGUGAGGAAUAUUGGACAAUGGGGGGCAACCCUGAUCCAGCCAUGCCGCGUGAGUGAUGAAGGCCUUCGGGUUGUAAAACUCUUUUAGAUGUGACGAUGAUGACGGUAACAUCAGAAAAGCUCCGGCUAACUUCGUGCCAGCAGCCGC
rnacentral:rRNA from 1 species